rnacentral:tRNA from 1 species
UGGGUUGUGGCUCAGCGGUAGAUCACUCGCCUCGCAUGUGUGAGACCCUGGGUUCUAUCCUCAACACCACAU